AACGCACCUUGCGCUCCUUGGUAUUCCGAGGAGCAUGCCUGUUUGAGUGUCAUGGAAUUCUCAACUCUAUUUGCUUUUGUGAAUAGGGCUUGGACUUGGAGGUUUAUUGCCGGUACUUGUGAUCGGCUCCUCUUGAAUGUAUUAGCUUGAACCCUUGUGGAUCAGCUAUCGGUGUGAUAAUUGUCUACGCCGUUGUUGAGAAGCAAUAUUGUUGGGAUCAGCUUCCAAUCGUCCUUCACUGGACAAAAAUACACUUUGACCUUUGACCUCAAAUCAGGUAGGAUUACCCGCUGAACUUAA
rnacentral:misc_RNA from 1 species